AACGGCGUCGAGCGGCGGACGGGUGAGUAAUGCCUAGGAAAUUGCCCUGAUGUGGGGGAUAACCAUUGGAAACGAUGGCUAAUACCGCAUGAUGCCUACGGGCCAAAGAGGGGGACCUUCGGGCCUCUCGCGUCAGGAUAUGCCUAGGUGGGAUUAGCUAGUUGGUGAGGUAAGGGCUCACCAAGGCGACGAUCCCUAGCUGGUCUGAGAGGAUGAUCAGCCACACUGGAACUGAGACACGGUCCAGACUCCUACGGGAGGCAGCAGUGGGGAAUAUUGCACAAUGGGCGCAAGCCUGAUGCAGCCAUGCCGCGUGUGUGAAGAAGGCCUUCGGGUUGUAAAGCACUUUCAGUCGUGAGGAAGGUAGUGUAGUUAAUAGCUGCAUUAUUUGACGUUAGCGACAGAAGAAGCACCGGCUAACUCCGUGCCAGCAGCCGCGGUAAUACGGAGGGUGCGAGCGUUAAUCGGAAUUACUGGGCGUAAAGCGCAUGCAGGUGGUUUGUUAAGUCAGAUGUGAAAGCCCGGGGCUCAACCUCGGAAUAGCAUUUGAAACUGGCAGACUAGAGUACUGUAGAGGGGGGUAGAAUUUCAGGUGUAGCGGUGAAAUGCGUAGAGAUCUGAAGGAAUACCGGUGGCGAAGGCGGCCCCCUGGACAGAUACUGACCCUUCAGAUGCAUGA
rnacentral:rRNA from 1 species